UGGUCCCAUCUGUCUGCCUCUCU
rnacentral:miRNA from 7 species